rnacentral:rRNA from 1 species
GAUGAACGCUGGCGGCGUGCCUAACACAUGCCAGUCGAACGAAGCUUGACGGAUGAUUUCUUCGGAAUGAAACCAGAUAUGACUUAGUGGCGGACGGGUGAGUAACACGUGAGCAACCUGCCUUUCAGAGGGGGAUAACGGCUGGAAACGGUCGCUAAUACCGCAUGAUGUGUUCGGAUGGCAUCAUCUGAACAUCAAAGAUUUAUCGCUGAAAGAUGGGCUCGCGUCUGAUUAGAUAGUUGGUGGGGUAACGGCCUACCAAGUCUACGAUCAGUAGCCGGACUGAGAGGUUGAACGGCCACAUUGGGACUGGGAUACGGCCCAGACUCCUACGGGAGGCAGCAGUGGGGAAUAUUGCACAAUGGGGGAAACCCUGAUGCAGCAACGCCGCGUGAAGGAUGACGGUUUUCGGAGUGUAAACUUCUUUUCUUAGUGACGAAGACAGUGACGGUAGCUAAGGAAUAAGCAUCGGCUAACUACGUG